CCCCGUUAGCUUAUCCUGAGAAACAUAUGAUUAUAGUGGGCAGGCAGGUUUUGGUCAGGGCUGGCAAGUAUUUCGGCUAGCCAGUCCUGUGGUCUGGCUGAAAUUUUUGGGAGUUUCAUACCCUGUAUGUAUGAGUGAUAACCCAGAAUCUUUGAUUAAUGUCAUGUAUCAUUAAAAUCAUGAUCAAAGAUUACUUUGUGCAGGUAUUUAUAAAAAGAAAUUUGAAAGUAAUAAAUUGAUUUAUUUAUUUGCAAACCCUGAUAUCAGAAAUGGCCAUUAGUUAGCAAGUGGUCAGAAUCUGACCACUAAAAUAUGCUAUUUGAAGGGGGCGUGGCCUAAAUGCAAAUGUCCGAUUGGGAUUUUAAAUUUUUGGGACCUCUGGGUCAGAUAAUGUAAAAUCAAUUGUGUUUUGAUAUUUUUCACCAGUUCACAAAUUAAGCUCCGUUUUCACUCAUUGGCAUUUUCUGAAAUGUUCUUGCAAUGGUUGUGCAUAUAAUUAGUUGAUUUGUGACCAAAGUCUUUCUUUUUUCUGUAGUUAUAUCACAGGGAAAUCACAUGAUGAUUGGAGUAUUCACUCACUCAAUGCUUAUAUUAUAAAUAGAGAUUAUUAUACAUGUGUGUCAUACUGGUUUUACGAAAAGAGGGUCUGAAUUCUUGCAUUUCCCAAGUGAGAGCGAGGUAACACAUGAAUCCUUAUGGACACUUCCAUCCAGAUGACGUAAACAAUAUACUGGUGCAUGGUGAGUUACAUUUGUUUCGUGCACAUACAAUUUUUAUGAACCUUUGGGAAAUAAAGUGUGUUUAAUUCACUUCCAGUUGAGAUGAGGCCCCAUGUGCUUGCACCAAACAUGAUAAAGUUUCACUGCACAUAAAAACACAUAAUGGUAAGCAUCUGUACUCUGAUAUUUGUUGAUUUGAUUUUAGGCUUAACUUGUGACAAAAGAAUAACUUGGCAUAAUAAGCGUUUUAUUUUUACAUUGUUGUGAAGCCCAUAUAUUUUCUAUUGUACGAAAGUUAAGCUGGUAAUUAUGCUACGACAGUUAAUCUGGUUGCUAUGGUAAGACAGUUACCUGGUUACUAUGGUACGACAGUUAAUCUGGUUACUUCGGUAUGACAGUUAAUCUGGUUACUAUAAUGGUAUGACAAUUAAUCUGGUUUCGAUGGUAUGACAGUUAAUCUGGUCACUCCGGUAUGACAGUUAAUCUGGUUACUAUAAUGGUAUGACAGUUAAUCUGGUUACUAUGGUAUGACAGUUAAUCUGGUUACUAUGGUAUGACAGUUAAUCUGGUUACUAUGGUAUGACAGUUAAUCUGGUUACUAUAAUAGUAUGACAGGUAAUCUGGCUACUUUGGUAUGACAGUUAAUCUGGUUACUGUAAUGGUAUGACAGUUAAUCUGGUUACUAUAAUGGUAUGACAGUUAAUCUGGCUUCUUCAGUAUGACAGUUAAUCUUGUUAUGAUGGUAUAGCAGUUAAUCUGGUUACUAUAAUGGUAUGACAGUUAAUCUGGUUACUAUGGUAUGACAGUUAAUCUGGUUACAAUGGUAGGACAGUUAAUCUGGUUACUAUGGUAUGACAGUUAAUCAGGUUACGAUGGUACGACAGUUAAUCUGGUUACGAUGGUAUGGCAGUUAAUCUGGUUACUAUAAUGGUAUGACAGUUAAUCUGGUAACUAUGGUAUGACAGUUAAUCUGGUUAAUAUGGUAUGACAGUUAAUCUGGUUACUAUGGUAGGACAGUUAAUAUGGUUACUAUAAUGGUACGACAGUUAAUCUGGUUACGAUGGGACAACAGUUAAUCUGGUUACGAUGGGAGGACAGUUACAAUGGGACAACAGUUAAUCUGGUUACGAUGGGACGACAGUUACUAAGGCUCAAGUUUAGGAACUUGAUUAAACUUUCACCAGGUGCAUGUUGACAUGAAAACCUAGUUGCACCAGACAAAACCUGGUUGCACCAUGUACUCAUAAAUUUAUCAAAGUUGAAUCGUGCACGUAAUCUUGAUUAACCCACAUUUUGAUGUCAAGGGCAUGAAAGCAAGACAAAUUACAUAUAAAAAUGUGGUUAUUGGUUGAGUAUGGUUAGCUUAGAAGUAUUGAAUGUGUUCAAAGAUCAAUGUUGUGUGGACAUGCAAGAGUUAGGCAGAUUUAUUGACUAUUUUGAAAGAUUUUGACAUGCACUUGUAUGUAGUCAUAAAUAUUUGGUUGCAUUUUUCAAUAAUAGGUUGGUAAAACGAGACCUGAGCUACUAUGGCUAAAGUCUGUACUUACUAAUGUGCUUUAAAGUUUGAUGACAUCAUGGAGAGUGUCGGUAAUAUACAGAUUGGCUUUAUCAGUAGAUUGGCUUAAUCAGUAGAUAAUCAGCAGCUUUGAUUAGACAUGAUGACAAGAUCAACAACAUUUAGCUCUGAAUAUACUCUUGAAAAUCACAUGCAUGAAACUGGUUGAGUAAAUUAUACAGCUCAUCUUUGGACUUUUGUAUUUUAUCUAUCUAUCUAUCUAUCUAUCUAUCUAUCUAUCUAUCUAUCUAUAUUAACAGUGUAUGUUAUAUUUCAAAUGACUGAACACGGUUGCCCAAUGGUUUUAGAAACUGCAACUAGCAGUGCAGAGUUGUGUCCCUUAGAUGUCAGGAUCUUCUGGUCAUGGGUUCACGUCCCUGAUUCACACCAACUCUGAUCAUCUGUCUGUCAGCUCUGUACCAGGGGUUGUAGGUCACCAAAGUAACCAGUGUCAGUUUGGGCUUCCCUGUGUAGCUGACAUGCUGACAAACUGAAAUAUGUGUUGUGGGUUCUGUCAGCCUUGAUUGGGAGUGUUGGUUUGUCAGAGUUCACAAGUGUCAUAAACGUCUGAGACCUGUAUCACUUUGGGCCUUCCUCGCUCAUUCAUCUGACCCUUUAAGCCACGAUAUGAAUGAAGCAAUGUGUUAAACCGCACUCUCUCGUUCUUAGCCAUUCACAAACAUUGAAAUACCUAUUGUUCGCGAUCAUGUACACAACUCAAACCUUUAAAAAAAUUCUGUUUACUGUUUAUUGUCAUGUAUCAUAUUACUUGCUUUUCCUUGAGUACCCAGGUACUGUAUCAUCUCAACCAUCUCUUAUGUCAACCAUUUUGCAUCUCAGAAAAACGACCUUGUGGUAAGUUUCUGUAGGACUAGAGCAAUGCCCACAAAUUUACAGUUUUGUAUUUGAGACAAUUUUCACUUGUCAUUUCUACUCUAUGUUCAGAGUACUUUCAAAGAUAUUUGAUACGCCUGUGUCAUGAAAAGAAAUCUCAUUGUAUUGUACCAUUCAUCGUCAGUUCUUUACAGGUUUGUAAAACCACGUUCCUCCAUCACCUGUGAAUAACUGCUGACACUGUGUAGAGCAAUAGUGACGUGACCCGUUAAAGUCAUGAUGUCAGUCGCUGGAUGAUCGGGUCCAGACCUGAUUAUUUACAGACCACUGUCAUAUAGCUGCAAUAUUGCAUUGUGCACAAACAAUAGUGACCAUGGUGAUGUGUGUCUAUUUAUAGUCAGAUAACACAGUCAAACGCUGUUGUGUUGAACUUUGAUGUGGUUUGACAACAUACAGUUGUCUCGAAGUAAAAGCUUGGUUCUGGCGUAUUCCUUCUUUAUUCAUAAUAUUUGGUUGUGUCGAACCUCAAAUGGCUUGAAGUAUUUUGUAGGUCACUUCAACUUUGUCACAACGGUGUGUGUCUGUAUAAUGAGACUGUGUAUCACUCAUGGGAUUCAAGUGAACUCUACUCUGUGCAUGUACUGUGGCAGUGGGGUAGCCCCAUCACCCGAAGACCUGGGUUCGAUUCCUCAAAUGGGUGCAAUGUGUGAAGCCCAUUUCUGGUGUCUCGUCGCGAUAUUUCUGUAAUAUUGCUAACAGUAGUAAAAAUGUUUAGCCACUUUAUGUAUUCCCAGGUGAUGGAGGAACCUGGUGGACAGAAGUGUUGACCAUGUAUAUCAUUAUGCCCCUGUAAACUAUACUGCUAUAUAUAUAGAUUUACAUGAAUAUAUAUGACUAUUUUCUAAUAUGCAUAAUAGCUUUGAGAACUAAACAACUCAUUACAGAGAAUCGUUCCAAGUACAUGUCCAUGUCCAAGUGUUCCUUGGGCACGCCAGAAACCUAUGAUUGUGGGUUCGAAUCCCGGUUCGCCCCGAUUAUGUUUCAAUGUUUGUCAGCACCAUACCCUUGCUCGUGGGUUUCGCCGAAGUGGUAAUUUAUUCAUAAAUCAAAUAAAACAGGUUUUGGUUAGUAUUUGUGGAUCUUUUGUGAGAAGAACCAAGUGCCAUAGUUGCGGUCAUAUGCUGAUUGUACAUGAUAUUGCCCAAAUUUAUGGAUACAAUAUCAUGAAUAUUUUUGUUAGAAUUAAGCAAUAGUAUUUGAGACCAAGAUGUUAUGUGUUCAGAUAUUGAUUUUGAUUGAACUGCGCAUAUCUUCUGUAAUGUAUGUCAUCAUUGUGGGAUGUGUCUGGGGCGUAUAUAUCAAAAGUUAAGUCAGUCUAUUUUAUCAUAUGUCAUUAGAAUAUUUUAUUAAGGUGUUUGAUCAAUAAAGCUGAUAUGACGGAU
rnacentral:lncRNA from 1 species